GAAGAGUAUCACAAUAAGAAACAGGUAAACGAAGUAAAAGAGCAUGCUUGGCAAGACUAUCGGCAACAUAGUUAUCAUUACGAGGAACCCAGCUGAUCUCCGAGAGCCGAAGGCGAUUCAGUCGACCAAAAAUAUCCAAUAGUGAAUCCCCUAUGAAGGAUAAGUCCUUUUCGCGCUUGACAAUUCUCCAGAAUAGCUGUUGGCAGUCGGUCUCCACGAUGACGUCGGAAUACUCCUUCUCUUCACAAAGGAUAAUACCUUCGAGAACUGCUCGGGCUUCUCCCUCCUCAGCCGAGAAGCAGCC
rnacentral:lncRNA from 1 species